UUUUGAAGGCCGAAGAA
rnacentral:sRNA from 1 species